CCACGGGCGGAAUCUUUCGGAAGUUUAGGCUCUCAUCGAAGACCCGGUCCACCAGCUGCAAACGGAGGAAAUGGUUGGACACAUGGAAGAGACACUGUGACACCCUGGUGAGAUGACACAUAGGUGUGUGGUGUUCCUCUGGAGCCUUGCUGCAUGAACCUCAUCUAAUCUGGACUGACAGGAUGUGUGUUCUCCAGGAAAGGCGACCGGCAGGGAUUAUUCAACAACUAAAAAACACACCAUCACACGCUACCAUCAUCCCCUGCACUGUGGAAUUAUUGAGGUAUGGAAGUGACCACCAGGAGGUGCUAUUUCACCUAGACCAGCUUUUCCAUUCAGCGCCAUGAUGUAUCCUGGGCAGCCAAAUAAAAGGUCCACUGCAGUGAGGGAUGAUGAUGGAUGAGGUAGCUGUGCAGCAAAAAGAAACGGACCUCUAUGAAUGAGCCCACAGGGCUGUGUCCAUGCAGUAGCCUAGCUACCGUCCAGUCAUCUCAACGGGGAAUUCUAGGUCAAGUGGAAGACGGGUAUGUAUGUGCACUGUGUGUGUGUGUGUGUGUGUCUGUC